CAUGCCCGAUAGGCAUUGCAGGUGUGUCUGCUGUCAGUAGGUGCCACACGUCAGUAGACAGCAUAGAGGAGAGAGGAUAUGUUUACACUCAGUGUCCUAGCCUGUGUGAACAGCUUAAUGACAAGUAGCCUAACUCU